CAACUGGGCAGAGGAAUCCUCCUCCUGUCAUCACUGGCUGAGCUCCUCUAUGGUUUGCUGCUUUGUUCUUCUUCUUCACUCAUGAUGAGCUUAAGUACAUGGCAGAACUGGAAGCUCAUGGAAGCCAAGUCUGAACAAAUUCCAUGGACUCUUCUUAAGGGAUUGAGGUCUUCACAUCAAGGUUCUUGCUACAGUACAGAGAAAGGGAAGGGCUGGAGGAGCAAACAGAGCAUCAGCCACAGGCUUCCCUAGGCACUGCCUGACAGCACUUCAGCAGAGAGCAUCCCUGGACUCUGCACAGCUCCAGCAGCCCAGCCACUGUGGAACAAAAGCUAAGCAGCAGCAGUUGGCUGGCUCUGGUCACUAUUAAAAAGUCCCUCUGCAGGCCACAGAGAUGGAUUUUAUUGGCUGUGAGUGUCCAUUGGUCACGCACUGAGAGCUCUCUUGCAAGCCUUGAUAAAUAUAGAAGGGUGAGUAACAGUACAGAAAUGCUAGCAGCUUGUAUUGAGACUGACCAUCUUCCUAUCUAGAAAGGGAAAUGUUCAGAGCUGUUUAUUCAUUACAUGGAGAGCUUUGGCUUGAAUCACAUGCCCAUGAGGCAUUAAUUUCACAUCCCAAGGUUUCCCAAAGCAAACGUUCAGCAUCCUAGUGAAGGCAUGAUUAAGGGUCUCUUAAAAAUGAAGGAUACCUGUGUCACUCUUUAGCACAAACACACCUAUCAGGAUGUGGUCUGAUUAAGAUGCUCUGAAGACUGAUCAAGUCCUUACACAGCUAAAAGCUUUAAGUGUGAAAACUGAGCCUCACUGUUUUAACAUGGUCCCCAGAUACCUGCAAUCUGUCCCUAGAUGCAGCUGUAAUGGCUUCCACAAUGGAUGCCAUCAGUUCCUGGCAGGUUUUGAGUGCUGAGAGUGUUUAAUUUCACUCACAGGAAAGUAUAUCGUUUAAGGUGGUUGUGCCAUUUUCUGAUGGACACCCAUAUAGGAUAAAAUCAAAGCAUUUCAGGUGAGCUCUGCCUUGAUGCUGAGGACUCAGAGUUCCAGUAACACCAUCCUUUAGUUUUUAAAAAAGAAAAAAUCCUCCUCCAAUUAAAAAGGAUUAAAUCUGUCAGUAAAAUCCUUGUAAAUCCAGUGCAUUGUCCAUGUGGGGAGCUGCAGGGGCAAGUAUUUUAAUCUGGGAAGGUAGCUUGGGCCAUGUCUAUAGUUCUCCUUACUAGUGUAUGCGAAGUCUCAAGUGACAGAAUAGGAACAAAUACACCCACAUCAGAAGCAGCUCUCCCUCCAUUGACUACAGGCUUUAAGUCAGCCUAUGUUUGGUUCAGCUCAUCUCUUACAAGAAGAUUGGGUGUUGCUGACAGUUCAUUUAUGCUUCUCUCCUAUGUGCAGAAAAUUCCCUCUUGCCAUAUGCAGGAACAUCCCUAUAGAAGUUAACAGAGACUGACCAAGAUCUCUGGUUCGUUUGAGCUCAUUUCCUCACAUCAUGGUACAGGGUCAUAAUUAACCCUUUGGUCUGCUGAAACAUGGAUUCUAGGCUGGACAUCAGUCCAAAACACCCCGGCAGGGAACUGUCAGAGCAUCUCUUCUUCCUGUGUCUCCCUGUUACCUUCAGUUCUCUAAGGCAAACGUUUCCAGCUUAGUGUUUGUGAUCUGUGGAGAGGUUAAAGCAAGCUAAUGCAAUCUGGUUCCAGUUCAGCAGAGCUUGUAAGCACACAGCUUAAUGUGAUUAGAGUCCCUGGGACUAUUGUGUGUUAUUAACUGUGUGCUUACAAAUUUUGCUAGCCUGGGAAAGGAUUUCCCAAUUUUGUAGAUCUCUAAUAGGCAGCAGGCUGUCUAGACAGUGCCCAAAACAAUCACUACCUUUUGUAGUUGCUUGGUGGAAGCCUUUCUUCCUCCUCGCAUUUUGCAAUGAGGCUCUGCCUGAUACUGCAAUGAACCCAAGAGCCCAGGAUCUGAAUACACAGGAUUCAGACAAGUUAUGCCACUGGAUCCUGAGGUCCCAAGCUCUUCAGUUUGCCAUCUCUGGUGAGAGAAGUUAUAGAGGAUGCUGUGCUGUGUUCCGUCUUGCAAGGGGCAACUGCAACAAAACACUUUAAGUCUGUGAGGAAAAUUGUUGCCUAUGUGUUUUUAUCAGAUGGCUCACUCACUUUUCUGAACCUCAUAAUGUCAAGACUGAAGAUGGCCAGUCCUCUGCUUCAGAGAUGUGAUCUGCUGAAGAACGGAUCUAGCUUUAUAUUAAUUUCUUGCACAAAAGAUGCUAGGGGACUGAGAAAGUUUGGUAAUGGAAGAGCAGUUCUUGUACCCUUCAAGGACAUUUCUUUAUGCUGAGCCCUAACAGUCCACUUGUUGGAUUCUUUUCAUCAGUGAUGCUUCAACAGCAGCACAAAUGCCUCCCCGUGGUUGCCUACAAUCACAUAUGUGAUUCUAUGAUUCUAUGUUGUCUCCAAUGAACAUCUGAAGUAACAAAGCACAAAGACAACCACAAUUCCUUAAAAUCAAUCACACCUUUUUAAUGGUAUGAAACCCUAAUGUCAGAUCCUCUCCAUGGAAAAUGAGAUUUCUUCUACGAGAAGAGGUAUUAACAUUAUAGAUUAAAAUAUACCAAAGUCAUAAAUCUCUGUCAAAAAAAAAACCCUGAUUGACCUUAGAUCAUAGAGCUGCUGUGCAAGAAUGCUUUCCUGUAAACUGGGGAAGAGAGUGUCAUAUAUAGUAUUUAAAAGUAUGAGCUAUAACAUUUGGGGCAAGGAAUGCAUUUUUUUCCCCCUAUCAGAAACUGAACAUUUCACUCUUUAUUCCCUGGUGGUUUGUGUGAUUUAGAAAGAGCAAUUGCAAUUAAAGGAAUGUAUGACCUUCUUUUGUCCUCUAAGGAGAUUAAUACAGUCCUCUGAUGUAAUGCAGCUGGGUGCAGCAAACAAAAUCUUGUAAGCCAUUUAUCUAAGUAUAAUGGUGUUGUAGUAAACCAAAGAGAACUUUCUCCAGGCAUUAGUUCUAUUGAUGGACACAGGAAUCACGUGAGAGUAUCAGAUGACCAGUAAUAAAACUCAUGUGGUUGAUUACAAAUAUUGAAAGAGUAGCAAACACUCUGUGGACAUUUUUUCUACCUCUUGGACAUUGUUUUCAGCUUAGGUUUUUCCAUGGUGUUGAGUUGUCUUGGUUCUUGAUGAAAAUAUCACUGAUGUUUCAUAGAUAUGAAAGGCUAUAAAGCUUAGUUCUCAGGUCAGCAAAAUACCUCCCAAAAUGUGUAAACUAGA